ACAAGACCGCACGUGUAUUACUGACAGCUCCCGAAAAACCUCUUAAAAAAUCUAAUAGUGGCGACGAGGAAAAAGGUUUUAAAAAUCAGUGAAAACAAAAGUGAAACAAUAUAAUUCAAAUGGACAAUAAAAGAACAGUUUUUUUUCAAAUUGAUAGUGUUUUUUGUGCGAUUUUAUGCAUAGAAACUAAUACCAUUUUUAUAUCUUUUUUUCGCAGCUUCGACAACGCCAUCCGCCAUCUUGGGGAUUCUUUUGUCUCCUAUUCUGGAUCAGGAAACUGUUGUUCCUGAUAAAAGUGUUGGACCAAGAUUCGGAACAUUAAUCCGGACAAUUAGCUGCCUCCGGAGAGUUAUUUCGACGGUAAAUCAAAAAAAAAUUCGUCGGCAAGGGUCGUACAGCUGUAUCGGUACUUCUUGGAAACGUGGAGGUAAUGGCCCACCGAAGUCAACUUAGAAUGUACCACAGCAAAUACCCGGAGACUAGACCAAACAUCGUAAUGCAGCCGGGUGCACAGUACAAGAAUGCCGAUGUUUUGGACAUGAACGUUGAAGAACGUGUAGCUGGAAGCGGCUCAGAGGACAUCCAGUGGGAAAUCUCACGGGUUGAUCUGGCAAAGGUCAGAGGCUCGAGAAAGAGGAAUGCUUCUACGGCGGAAUUGCCGGGAAGUUUACGGCGCUCAAAGCGGACAAAGCGCCCAUCCGAAGAACAGAAUUAUUAUUAUUAUACUAAAAUAAAUUGUCAGAAAUCCUUUAGUGGUGAUCAAAAUGGCUGACUUAUCGAAUUGUAAAAUUAAAAUAUUAGUCAGUUCAUAUGAAUUCUACUGAAUUGUUAGAAUAGGUUGAUUAAAAAAAAAAUAAAGGAAACGACUGUUAUGUCUACCUUCAAUAUAAAACAUUGUUACAGUGUAGUCGGAGCUGGACUCCGUUCGUAACGCAGGUAACGCCUGCGCCGACUGAUAAAUGUCAGUGACAUUUGACAACAAAGUCAGUUCUAUUUCAACCAUCAAGACCGCACGUGUAUUACUGAAAGCUCCCGAAAAACCUCUCAAUAAAUAUAAUAAUUACUAACAUAGUUGUAAGCAAACAUUGUCAAAAUAUUGAACUCCCGGCCCCGUUAGGCUGACGCCAUAUGAGCCUUAAUAAGAAUAUAUAUUUUGGUGCAUGAACUUAUAGCCUCUUAAUUCGUGCAAAUUUUGAAAUGCGAACUAAAUUUCAAGUUCGUUUCUGUGAAAAAGUAUUCUACGAAGAAAUGUUUUGGGAUGAAUAAUUUCUUUCCGUGUAUGAAAAGAAACGAAACGAAAGCAAUGAAUACUGCGACAUCGGGUGAUAUGUUUGUACAUGAUGUUCUUGAAUUAUAAACAUAGUGUUUGUUUUCACAUGUCUAUGUUUGUGUAUCAUUGUUCGUGUUGGGGAUAAACACUCAACACUAGCGAGAAUCAUGUUCGAAUUCAAACAAAAACAUGGAAUUUUCACAUCGCGUCGACAUGUUGUCCGGUGCUGAUUCCGUAAUAAUUACGCUAAAAGGUUGGUGGAUGGUUGACUAUUCUUCAUAACAUUGCAGUGAACAUUAAUUUUAUAGUCGCCUUACAUAAAAGCCAUCAAGGUAAGAUAUAUUUAUUAUCGCAUUUAAAUAAAUUUAAAAGCUGAAUUUUAUCCAUAGACAAUGAGCCGAUAAAAAUAAUAAACCUGUCAAGGAUCUUGUAAUUCUACUGUACGAAACUGCACUGUUAUUGUCUGGAUUCUCACUGGAUGAGUCAGGUGUGCACGCAUCUCGCAUCUAUCUUAGGGUCAAGCUGGGUCUUAGAAUCGAUAAGGACGAAGCUAUGAGCACAGAUGAUACUCCAGCCGCAACUACUGGUGAAGAUGCUCCUCCACUAGAGGAUGACACCGAGGAUGCCUCACACAUGGAAGAAGUUGAUUAAACAUAUACGAUUUUUAACUACUUAAGUAGCUUUUUGUAAUUUUUGAAAGUCUGAUUUGUGUUUUUGGAGUAAGGAAACGUUAUGCUAAAUUGAGUUUCUCGUAUCAGUUAGGGUCAACUAUUGUAAAUUUACAUUUUAAUUUUGUACCGCGUUAUAGCGGCUGCAGAAGAUGUAUAUUCUUGUCAUUUGUAAUAGCAUACCAAGUACUUGAA